AUUGAACGCUGGCGGCAGGCCUAACACAUGCAAGUCGAACGGUAACAGAAAGCAGCUUGCUGCUUUGCUGACGAGUGGCGGACGGGUGAGUAAUGUCUGGGAAACUGCCUGAUGGAGGGGGAUAACUACUGGAAACGGUAGCUAAUACCGCAUAACGUCGCAAGACCAAAGAGGGGGACCUUCGGGCCUCUUGCCAUCGGAUGUGCCCAGAUGGGAUUAGCUAGUAGGUGGGGUAAAGGCUCACCUAGGCGACGAUCCCUAGCUGGUCUGAGAGGAUGACCAGCGACACUGGAACGGAGACACGGUCCAGACUCCUACGGGAGGCAGCAGUGGGGAAUAUUGCACAAUGGGCGCAAGCCUGAUGCAGCCAUGCCGCGUGUAUGAAGAAGGCCUUCGGGUUGUAAAGUACUUUCAGCGGGGAGGAAGGGAGUAAAGUUAAUACCUUUGCUCAUUGACGUUACCCGCAGAAGAAGCACCGGCUAACUCCGUG
rnacentral:rRNA from 1 species